AAAAUAUAAAAAAAUUAUAACCUAUAAACUCAAACAUCAAUUAAAGUAACAUCUAAAAAAAUACAAUACGUGGGUGUAAAAAAUUGUUAAUAAAACAUAUCUAAUUUAAUCAAACAAAUUUAUAAGUUAGUAUUACCAAACGAACACUAAAAAAAUAUUUAUUCCAGCUAGAGCUUUUCUCCAAGUGAACGUCUGAGAUCUAGUUGUAGAGGUAAUGGGCAUAGGCCUGAAUAGUAUCACGGUUGAGGGUGAAUUUUUUUCUUGUAACACCUUCGGAGCAGUGUAGAUAUAUAUCCUAAAAAAUCAUGCAGAUAAUAAUACCGAAAUAUAGUGGUGUUGCUAUGAAUCUAAGAAAAUAUGGAGAAUAGAAAACAAAAUUAAUUUGAUUUAACUCUUAUAAUUUAAUCUUGUUAUACUAAGUAAAAAAAUUUAUACACUCAACACAUCAUGACCAAUUACAUGACCAAUUACAUGUGUGACUUUAAACAUAGUUGUUUGUAAAAUUAUGCCAUAUUUUAUACUAUUAUAAAGUAUGAACCAUUUCCAUGAUUUCAUAUUGUUAAUAGAAAAGUAUUUCAUUUGGAUCUUUAACAAAGCAAUCACCUAAGUUGUGUCUGUUUAUUUAAUAAGUAAAACAUAAACUACAAUGAAAGGGUAAAACAAUAUAUAAAAAAUAAACAACUGGAAAACUUUUUAUGAGUAUUUUCACAUGGAACUUUAUAACCGCCCAGAAAAUCCCCUCUUGAAGCAUGGUGCAUGUGGACAGAAGACAUUACCAUUGGACUGCGAUAUGGAGGAAGAACAUCUAGAAGUAGAAGCUGCAAAGUUAGAGCUUGCCAUAUGAGCAGAGAAACUAUAUCUUAAAAAUAUUUCAAAUCACAAAAAUAAUUUUACAAUAAUUCUAGAAUAAAAUACUCAACAAUAUGCAAAACAUAAGUAUCUACAUGAAGAAGACAUACUUAAUUACGCAACUAACAAAUUAAAAAAUAAAAUAAAUAAAGAAUUAUGACAUAGUUUCUACUAAUAGAGAAAUUAGUUUAGGUAAACACUCUAACUUCAAAUGCCACACUUGUACCAAAACUAACUGGGAUAUUAUAAUAUAUAGAUAUAGAUGUAUAGAUGGCUCACAUUAAAAACUACUUGAUAUGUUUAGGACUGGUCCUAAUGGGCUAUGGACUUUUUCCAACUAAACUAAAAAGUCCUCUUUAAAAAUGGAUAAAAAAAUAUGAGUCAGGAUCUAAAUGGGUUGUGAGCUUUCAGGCUAACCCGUCGUUUAAUUAAUUCAAAACUUUUAUUUAAAAUUUGUAUUUUAAGUAUUGUAAUAUAUUUUUUAAGAAAAUUAUAUAACUUUUUAUAUAUUCUAACAUAUUUUUUUAAAUAUGCUUAAUAUUCUUUUAAAUAUAAUAUAAUUUUUUAAAAAAACUUACGUACUUUAUUUAUUGUAUAGCGUUUAAAUAUUGUGCAUAUUUAAAAACUUAGAACUUAAAUCUUAUAUUUACUCAAGUUUUUUGAAUCGGAUUGUACAGACUAAUCUGUUAUUAGGAAUGAUAAAUAACUCGCACCCCUGGGUAACCACUCAAAUUCAUUUGAUUUAGACGGGAAAAUCCGUUUGGAUUGGAUGUUGAUGCGUAUUUUUUUCGAAAUUAAAAUUCGGAGGUGGGGACGAGUUUGAUGGUGAUGAUAUUCACUCCGAACUCGCACCCGACCCUACCCCGCAAGUAAUAUUAUAAUAAUUUUUAAAUUGUCUCUCUCUCUCUCUAUAUAUAUAUAUAUAUAUAUAUAUAUAUAUUAAAUAUACUUAAUAAUUUUUUAAAUAUUAAAAAUUAUAAUCUUAUCCUAUAGAAAAUAUUUUUUUUUAAUUUUAUUAUUGUCUAAUAAUAAUUAUUUUAU
rnacentral:lncRNA from 1 species